rnacentral:rRNA from 1 species
GGUGAACGCUGGCGGCGUGCCUAAGACAUGCAAGUCGAGCGGGGCAGGUUUAUACCUGUUCAGCGGCGGACGGGUGAGUAACGCGUGGGUGACCUACCCGGAAGAGGCGGACAACCUGGGGAAACCCAGGCUAAUCCGCCAUGUGGUCCUGUCCUGUGGGGCAGGACUAAAGGGUGGAUAGCCCGCUUCCGGAUGGGCCCGCGUCCCAUCAGCUAGUUGGUGGGGUAAAGGCCCACCAAGGCGACGACGGGUAGCCGGUCUGAGAGGAUGGCCGGCCACAGGGGCACCGAGACACGGGCCCCACUCCUACGGGAGGCAGCAGGUAGGAAUCUUCCGCAAUGGACGGAAGUCUGACGGAGCGACGCCGCGUGGAGGAGGAAGCCCUUCGGGGUGUAAACUCCUGAACUGGGGACGAAAGCCCUGUGUAGGGGGAUGACGGUACCCAGGUAAUAGCGCCGGCCAACUCCGUG